GGAAGAAAAUAGCAACAAGGCCCCAAAGGUGGAAGUGCAGCCUGAGAACCGAGCCAGCCUGGGACUGCUCUGCCAGCACAGCUUGCCACCCCGCAGAGCACAGCAGGCGAUGCUCUCAGGCUUCAUGGUACUGCUAUCCCUCCUACGAUGGGAAAAACAAAGCUCAGAGAGGUAAAACAACUUGCCCAAGGACACACAACCAGGAAACAAAGGGGCCAGGAUUCAAACCCCAAGCGUGGCCAGCUCCAAAGCCAAGACUAUGACAGCAGCGACUUGAGUUCUCAAGUGAAAAAUGAAAAUGGGGUCUUUCUGGAAUCAGCAAGGAUUGCAGAGUAGUAAGGUUAGAAGGCACCUUAUGUAAGAGCCUGGCACAUGCGCACAGAGAGUAUCGGUCUUGCUCCAUGAAGUUUGUUUUAAAAGGAAAGGAAGGAAGAAAGGAAAGAAGGAAGGAAAAAAAAGAUUCAAGUAGUUAUUGACAAUAUCUGGAUAGACCAAAGCUCAGCAAAAUAUAUUCAUGCCCUGAUGGAUUUAAUUGCCAAUAUCUUCAACAUAUGCUAAGUAUCUCUUCAAGUCUAUAGUUUUCUUGUAUUUGCUCUUUUAUAUUUGCAUUGGUUAGGAUUUCAGGUGGCUGAAAGUAAUGGACCAUAGUGCUUAAGCAAACAGAGGUGUUAUUUUUCAUCCAUAAUUGAAGUUUUGAGGUAGAGCUGAGGUAACUGUUUAAGGAAGUCAACAAGGUUCCAGGUUCCUUCUAGCUUCCUUCUCUGCCACUCUUUCUGCUUGAAUUUUUUCCUCAGAGUUGAAAGCUGGGAUGCUGCCCUUUCAACUUUUAGUAUCCAUAGUCCAGGCAGAAAGAAGGGAAAGAGUAAAGAUCAAAAUGCAUGUGACAGUUGGACUCAACUCUUUUUAUCAGGAAAUAAAUGGCUUUCCUGGAAGUGCCACACAUAUUUGUCCAGAAAUUCUCUUUAUCUCUGCUCAGACCUAGGUCGUGAUCACUUUAGCUUCAGAGGAGUCUGGGAAGAUGCAUGUUCUUAAAUGGGCACACUCCUGCCUUAAACACAACUGGAGGUCUGUCAGUGAAGAAUCAGGGGAGAUUGAAGAUCAGGAGGCCAAUCAGGAGUGCCUGACAAACCACUGCCACAAACAAGCAGACAAACUGGAUUCCAAGUUCCUUACUCAAUCUCAGAAGCCUAAAUGAAAGUGAUCAUUUUCAAGCUGGAAUUUUGAGCAGAUAUUUCAGCUCUUCAUAUAUGGUGCUAAGCCAUAUGUAUAAAAAGUAAAAAAUUCCAUCAAUUACUUGGUCCUUUUAUCUAUAUAAUACUAAAUAUAUAUGCUGAAACCAAAACAUCUGGAAUAAUCUUUCCUCCUUGGAAUUCUUAAUCCCUAUAUACUUUAAUUUUAUACUUAAUUUAAAAAAUCAGCUUUCAAGGAGUCCAUUCACUACAAU